rnacentral:rRNA from 1 species
UACGUAGGGUGCAAGCGUUGUCCGGAAUUAUUGGGCGUAAAGAGCUCGUAGGCGGUCUGUCGCGUCUGCUGUGAAAACUCGGGGCUUAACCCCGGGCCUGCAGUGGGUACGGGCAGACUAGAGUGCGGUAGGGGAGACUGGAAUUCCUGGUGUAGCGGUGAAAUGCGCAGAUAUCAGGAGGAACACCAGUGGCGAAGGCGGGUCUCUGGGCCGUAACUGACGCUGAGGAGCGAAAGCGUGGGGAGCAGACAGG